ACCUGGCUGGCUCAGUCAGUCGAGCGUGUGACUCUUGAUCUCAGGGUUGUAAGUUCAAGCCCCACGUUGGGUG
rnacentral:tRNA from 1 species